rnacentral:rRNA from 1 species
CCCUUAGAUGUUCUGGGCCGCACGCGUGCUACACUGAGUAAUUCAAUGGGUAAGGGAACGCUAGAGCAUUACCUAAUCUUGAAAUUUGCUCGUGAUGGGGGUCGACGGUUGCAAUUUUCCGUCGUGAACGAGGAAUACCUUGUAGGCGCAUGUCAUCAUCAUGCGCCGAAUACGUCCCAGCCCUUUGUACACACCGCUCGUCGCUCCUACCGAUUGAGUGAUCCGGUGAGGCUCUAGGGACCUGGACGGAAAGAGCGUUUCGCUUGUUCUGUUUGGGAAACUUGGUCGAACCUUAUCAUUUAGAGGAAGGAGAAGUCGUAACA